rnacentral:rRNA from 1 species
UACGUAGGGUGCGAGCGUUAAUCGGAAUUACUGGGCGUAAAGCGUGCGCAGGCGGUUUUGUAAGCCAGAUGUGAAAGCCCCGGGCUUAACCUGGGAAUGGCAUUUGGGACUGCAAGGCUUGAGUGCGGCAGAGGAGACUGGAAUUCCCGGUGUAGCAGUGAAAUGCGUAGAUAUCAGGAGGAACACCGGUGGCGAAGGCGGUUCUCUGGGCAUGAUCUGACGCUGAGGAGCGAAAGUGUGGGGAGCGAACAGG